rnacentral:rRNA from 1 species
GUGCAGGCGGUGCUAUACAUGCAGUCGAGCGCAGGAAGCUCACGGAACUCUUCGGAGGGAAGUGAAGGGAAUGAGCGGCGGACGGGUGAGUAACACGUAAGGAACCUGCCCCAAGGAUUGGGAUAACUCCGAGAAAUCGGAGCUAAUACCGAAUAGUUCUUCAGACCGCAUGGUCUGAUGAUGAAAGGCGCUCCGGCGUCACCUUGGGAUGGCCUUGCGGUGCAUUAGCUAGUUGGUGGGGUAAUGGCCCACCAAGGCGACGAUGCAUAGCCGACCUGAGAGGGUGAUCGGCCACACUGGGACUGAGACACGGCCCAGACUCCUACGGGAGGCAGCAGUAGGGAAUCUUCCACAAUGGACGAAAGUCUGAUGGAGCAACGCCGCGUGAGUGAUGAAGGUUUUCGGAUCGUAAAACUCUGUUGUAAGGGAAGAACAGGUAUGAGAGGUAAUGCUCAUGCUAUGACGGUACCUUGCGAGAAAGCCACGGCUAACUACGUGCCAGCAGCCGCGGUAAUACGUAGGUGGCAAGCGUUGUCCGGAAUUAUUGGGCGUAAAGCGCGCGCAGGCGGCCUUUUAAGUCUGAUGUGAAAGCCCCCGGCUCAACCGGGGAGGGUCAUUGGAAACUGGAAGGCUUGAGUACAGAAGAGAAGAGUGGAAUUCCAUGUGUAGCGGUGAAAUGCGUAGAGAUGUGGAGGAACACCAGUGGCGAAGGCGACUCUUUGGUCUGUAACUGACGCUGAGGCGCGAAAGCGUGGGGAGCAAACAGGAUUAGAUACCCUGGUAGUCCACGCCGUAAACGAUGAGUGCUAGGUGUUGGGGGGUUUCCGCCCCUCAGUGCUGAAGCUAACGCAUUAAGCACUCCGCCUGGGGAGUACGGCCGCAAGGCUGAACUCAAGGAAUUGACGGGGACCGCACAAGCGGUGGAGCAUGUGGUUUAUUCGAAGCAACGCGAAGAACCUUACCAACUCUUGACAUCCCCUUGACCGCUUGAGAGAUCAAGUUUCCCCUUCGGGGCCAGGUGACAGGUGGUGCAUGGUGUCGUCAGCUCCGUGUUCGUGAGAUGUUGGGUUAGUUCCCGCAACGAGCGCACCCCUAUCCUUAGUUGCCAGCAUUAGUUGGGCACUCUAAGGGGACUGCGUGACAAACCGAGAGUGGGAUGACGUCAAUCAUCAUGCCUAUGAUUGGCCUACCAUCGGUGCUCACAAUGGACCGUUUACACCAAUGGGGGACACGAC